AUUGAACGCUGGCGGAAUGCUUUACACAUGCAAGUCGAACGAUGAACCUUAGCUUGCUAAGGGAAUUAGUGGCGAACGGGUGAGUAAUGUAUCGGAACGUAUCCAAUAAUGGGGGAUAACUAGUCGAAAGAUUAGCUAAUACCGCAUACGUCCUACGGGAGAAAGCUAGGGACCUUCGGGCCUGGCGUUAAUGGAGCGGCCGAUAUCUGAUUAGCUAGUUGGUGGGGUAAAGGCUCACCAAGGCGACGAUCAGUAGCUGGUGUGAGAGGACGACCAGCCACACUGGAACGGAAACACGGUCCAGACUCCUACGGGAGGCAGCAGUGGGGAAUUUUGGACAAUGGGCGAAAGCCUGAUCCAGCCAUUCCGCGGGAGUGAAGAAGGCCUUCGGGUUGUAAAGCUCUUUCGAAAGGGAAGAAAACUUAAGCUCUAACAUAGCUUGAGGUUGACGGUACCUUGAUAAGAAGCACCGGCUAACUACGUGCCAGCCGCCGCCGUAA
rnacentral:rRNA from 1 species